GCCCGGGUGGCGGAAAGGCAGACGCAGAGGGCUUAAACCCCUCGGCUCCUAACGGGGCGUGUGGGUUCGAAUCCCACUCCGGGCA
rnacentral:tRNA from 2 species